rnacentral:rRNA from 1 species
CAAGAGCGUAUGUAAAAGUUGUUGCAGUUAAAAAGCUCGUAGUUGAACCUUGGGUUUGGUUGGCCGGUCCGCUUUUUUGCGAGUACUGGAUUCAACCGAGCCUUUCCUUCUGGCUAACCAGUCGUUUCGGCGGCUGGCGAACCAGGAUUUUUACUUUGAGAAAAUUAGAGUGUUCAAAGCAGGCAUUAGCUUGAAUAUAUUAGCAUGGAAUAAUAGAAUAGGACGUUAUGGUUCUAUUUUGUUGGUUUCUAGGACCAUCGUAAUGAUUAAUAGGGACGGUCGGGGGCAUCAGUAUUCAGUUGUCAGAGGCGAAAUUCUUGGAUUUACUGAAGACUAACUACUGCGAAAGCAUUUGCCAAGGACGUUUUCAUUAA